rnacentral:rRNA from 1 species
AUCUACGGCCAUACCACGUUGAAAGCACCAGUUCUCUUCCGAUCACUUAAGUUAAGGAACGUCGGGUUCGGUGGGACUUUUGUGUUUUGAUGAGAGCUGACGUAUUUU